rnacentral:rRNA from 1 species
AGCGAACGCUGGCGGCAGGCCUAACACAUGCAAGUCGAACGAAGUCUUCGGACUUAGUGGCGGACGGGUGAGUAACACGUGGGAACAUGCCCUUUGGUACGGAAUAACUCAGGGAAACUUGAGCUAAUACCGUAUGUGCCCUUCGGGGGAAAGAUUUAUCGCCAUUGGAGCGGCCCGCGUCUGAUUAGCUAGUUGGUGAGGUAAAGGCUCACCAAGGCGACGAUCAGUAGCUGGUCUGAGAGGAUGAUCAGCCACAUUGGGACUGAGACACGGCCCAAACUCCUACGGGAGGCAGCAGUGGGGAAUCUUGCGCAAUGGGCGAAAGCCUGACGCAACCAUGCCGCGUGAAUGGUGAAGGUCUUAGGAUUGUAAAAUCCUUUCACCGGUGAAGAUAAUGACUGUAGCCGGAGAAGAAGCCCCGGCUAACUUCGUGCCAGCCGCCGCCGUAACAC